UGGCACUACCAGAUGUAUGUUAACCUCUUCCAGUAGCAGUGCUACUUGGAUGACAGUUCUGGGAAAUCUGGAAGGUAUGUUGAUAAUGCUAAACUGAGAUAUUGAAGUUGCAGGACGGCAGGAAAGAGGUGGAUUUGACAGGCAAGGGAGAAGGCUCUACAAAAAGGGGUCCAGAGGAGCCCUGAAAGGAUGGAGCAACUGCAACAAAACACCAAAUCACAGCAGCCUGUAGGCAGAGGGAACACUCCCUGCAUGGCUGCUCCACAAAUGGAAAAGAUGUUCAGUGAGGAAAAGAAUACAAGUUUGUGAAUUGUA